GCCAAGCACAGACAGAUGCUUAAUUCAGACUUGGACAGAAGAUAGCUCAGGACCCGGAUUUCAGUCCUGCUCUGCUGCUCAUAGGUGGGGCAGCUGCAGGAACUCGGGCUCAGCUUCCUAGCCUGUGAAAUGGGUAUUCAACUCCACAAAUAUUGAUUGAGCCCUAACUUUGUUAAAGGCCCUUCCCUGAAUGUUGAGAAGGUACAAAAAUGAAUCUCCUCCUUUGAGGGGUUAAUCACAGGCUGGGUAAAAUGCUACUACCCAUCAGUGAUGAGGAACUCUGCUGGCUGCUUUGCAUAUGACAUCAAACUCCUGACCAACUCCGUGAGAGAGAUGGAAUUGGCCUCACUUUUCAGAAGAGAAAACCAUGGCUCGAGAAGAGUCUCAGAUGUGGGUGGACUGAUCCCCAAGUAGGUGGCUGUCAGGGAGCCUGCCAACCUGUCAGCCACACUGUGGAGAGGGGAAGGCAGCCUGGUCUAGGCCCACGUGUUGAGAGAACCACCAGGCCUGAGCCAAAGCCUCAUCUGAAGGGGUGGUGAGCCACCGGGCUGAGGACCCAGUUCCUCAGGAACAGAGAAGUUUGCAAUGAUGAUCUCAACUCCGCAUCAUCUGGUGACCCCUGAUUCUGCAGGACUAAGACAUUUCCCAAGAGUUCUGCUGCAUCAGC